CCGAGUUUACAACUCCCAAACCCCUGUGAACAUACCUAUCGUUGCCUCGGCGGAUCAGCCCGCGCCCGUAAAACGGGACGGCCCGCCAGAGGACCCCUAAGCUCUGUUUCUAUAUGUAACUUCUGAGUAAAACCAUAAAUAAAUCA
rnacentral:misc_RNA from 1 species